rnacentral:rRNA from 1 species
AACGUAGGAGACGAGCGUUAUCCGGAUUUACUGGGCGUAAAGCGCGUGUAGGAGGCUGCACAAGUUGGAUGUAAAAUCUCCCGGCUUAGCCGGGAGGCGUCGUUCAAAACUGUGGAGCUAGAGUAGUGUAGAGGUAAUCGGAACUCCGGGAGUAGCGGUGAAAUGCGUAGAUAUCCGGAAGGACACCAGAGGCGAAAGCGGAUUACUGGACACCAACUGACACUGAGACGCGAAAGCCAGGGUAGCAAAC